rnacentral:rRNA from 2 species
UCGUCCGUGAAAACUUGGGGCUCAACCCCAAGCUUGCGGGCGAUACGGGCAGACUUGAGUACUGCAGGGGAGACUGGAAUUCCUGGUGUAGCGGUGAAAUGCGCAGAUAUCAGGAGGAACACCGGUGGCGAAGGCGGGUCUCUGGGCAGUAACUGACGCUGAGGAGCGAAAGCGUGGGUAGCGAACAGGAUUAGAUACCCUGGUAGUCCACGCCGUAAACGGUGGGCGCUAGGUGUGGGUUUCCUUCCACGGGAUCCGUGCCGUAGCUAACGCAUUAAGCGCCCCGCCUGGGGAGUACGGCCGCAAGGCUAAAACUCAAAGGAAUUGACGGGGGCCCGCACAAGCGGCGGAGCAUGUGGAUUAAUUCGAUGCAACGCGAAGAACCUUACCUGGGUUUGACAUAUACCGGAAAGCCGUAGAGAUACGGCCCCCCUUGUGGUCG